UAUUUUUAGAUUUUUUUUUUGUGCCACACACACAUCCCUCUCUUUCGUUCUCUUCUACAUUUUCUUCUCCGCAACUCGCUUUUUCAAUUUUUCCUUUUCUUUUUGCUAGCUCUUCUCUUUUUUUCUUUUCUAUUUUUUCCUUCCUUUUCUUACUAUAAUUUUUUCUCUAAUUUCUUGUUUCAAUUUCUUCUUUUUCUAUUUUAAUCACUUCGAUCUUAGGAGAAAAGGCAAAGAAAUGAUAAAUUGAAGACAUACUUAUUAGGUAGGUAAAAAAAUUUGCAAUUUUAAAUUGUUUUUCAUACAUUUUGAAUAUUUCUAACUUGUGUUCCUGUUUGAAGAAAUUUGAAAUUAUGCAAAUUUUUAUUUAUAGCUUACAAAAAGUUAAAAAUCGAUCUACUUGAUUAAGUUAUUAUAUAGUCUUAUUUUUAAUUAUUCUGUAUGAAUUUAUGACAAUUUUUUUUUAAUUUUGCCAAUUCUAUUUUUGAAUUUAGAAGAUGGAAAAUACUAAUAAAAUAAAAAAUUAAAUUGAAGCACCUUAUAUUUAAAUUUGCUUAAUUAUUCUCCAUAUGAUUUAUUAUUAAAUUUUUAUGAAUAGAUCUCACAAUUCUUCCUAAAAAUUUUAAUAUAAAUUAAUUUUUUCUUCAAAUUUUUAAUAAAUAUUUCUAAAAGAUUCAAAAUUAAAAGAAAUUAUUGGAGCAAUUGUAGUGCUAUUCUAGUUAAUCUAGUCAUAAUGCAGUCUCCCAUCAAAUCAAUAUGGAUGAAUCUUACAAAUUCCAUAAAAAUUUUAAGAAAAAUUAAUUUUCUAUAAUUUUGUUUUUUAUAAUUUUUUUUAGUUCUAAAAAGAAGGUAAAAUCAAAUGAAUUUUCAAAGUUAAUCUAUUUUUAAUUUUAUUCUCCAUGAGCUAUAGUUAUAUUUUACUUCACAUAUAUGAAAAACCUACCACUAUAUUAAUUGCUGAGUGUAGCAAGCUAUAUAUAGCCAAUAUUAAUAAUUAUCUUUCUAAAUCUUUUUAAAUAGCAUUAUAAGAGUUUAUUGAAAAAAAAAAACUAUGCAAAAACGUGCCACUAGGAGGUCAUGCAUAUCCAUCAGCACGCAAGCGUGCCACGUGUUGGCAUGCUUGCGUGCCUGAGCCGUAUUGUGCCAGGCGACAAUCGGCAUGCCCCUGUGCCACACAACACUUUAAUCCUUGCAUUCAAUAUAGGAAAGUAUUGAAUAUAUGAAACUUUAUACCAUUCAGCAUGACCACAAGGCGGCACGACCUUGGCACAGUACUACAUGAGCGGUAUGGGCAAUCCUUGCAUUACAUAUUACAAUAUAUGAAAGUAUUGUACGAAGUUAUAAAGCUAUUUGAGUUUUAUUUAACAUGAAAGAUAAUUAUAUCAGACCAGACAAUAGUGUUGGAUUUUAUCUUAUGAACCCUAAAGCACGUGUCACCAAAUGCAAUGGUGAGAUGUAUGACUUUGAUGCUUGUCAGUUUAGAAUGAUUGCGAUUGGAUUUAGACUUAAAAGUCAGCCAAUGUCCUACCCCGUUUCUCGUUAUAUCUCUCAUGUAUCCCUUGCCUAUCGAAGCAUUCUCAUGAAGUGUGCGACGUGAAUCGGUCACGAGAUAGGCGAGUAUCAAGAUAUUUGUCCAUAUUUCUGAAAUGUCCGAUACUCCUAUGAGGUGUUUGACCCCCUACUGGGGGUGUAUCAGGCGAGCAUCGUAAUAUCCAGUACAUAAUCGUAAUAUCCAGUACAUAUUUGAUGUGGACAUGAGAGCUAAAAUUAAGUAUCCUUGAAUCGUAGCUUUGUACAUGAAAUAGUUCUAUAGUAAGUUGGCAAUUUCUGAUGCCUAUGAGUACUUUCUAUGUGAAGUAAAUUUAAUUCUGCAGGCCUAUGGCAAUCCAUGUCUCAGCCAUAAACUAGAUUCAUGUCUAUUUCAUAUCUGUCUUUAUCUUUAUUGAUUAUCAUAUUUAAGUGUGUGUGUGUGUGUGUGUAUAUAUAUAUAUAUAUGCACCCCCUUCUAUGCAAGCAUAUGUAUGAAUUAAUUAGUGACAUAUGAAUAUGUAUGAGUUAAUUAGUGACAUAUGAUGGGUGGUUGUUUUAGAUUUAUCCAUCGCAAGCAUCGUUCAUUUAUUUCCAUUGAAAUUUAGAUUGAUAUUGAUUGUUGAUUUGGGUUUUCCAAUUCUUAGUACCGAAUGAAUUCCACUAUAUUGUUUUCAGAAAUAUUACUGACAGCAAUACACAACUUCAACCAUCAACUGCAAAAGGUUGUAUUAAAAAGAGAGAACUACUGACAUGAAAUUUGGAAAUCUGCUACCCCAUGCAACAAAAACCUCAAUUUUUGGCUUAAUUUGUAGAAGUGGAAUAGCUACUAUUAUGUUCAGGGUUUCUAUUUUAUAUAUACUGACAAGGUUUGGUGGUGAAGGUUGAGCAAAAUUAUUUAGUUGGAAGUUGGAAACAUCAUUGAGGGCUAAAUUGCUCUAAUUCUUCCAAAUGCUCUGAUUGCAGCAAAGCUAGUAUUUGCUGAACUUACCAAAAAAAUAA
rnacentral:lncRNA from 1 species